rnacentral:tRNA from 1 species
CCCACCUUAGUAAAAUGGAUAUUACGGCCCCCUCCUAAGGGGCAAGUGUAGGUUCGAUUCCUGCAGGUGGGG